CGGGCGCUGGUGGGCGGCGGGGGUGCUCGGUGCUUCGUACGCGCUGUGCGGCUGGUCGGUCGCCGAGGCGUCGUACAACCCGAUGUGGCUGG
rnacentral:tRNA from 1 species